rnacentral:hammerhead_ribozyme from 1 species
AUCUAGCUGACGAGUCCCAAAUAGGAUGAAACGGGCGUCCUAGAU